GUAGCAUGGCUUAAAAUGCUUAAAUAAUAAAUAUGCUUAAUAUACCCAAGUACUUAAUAUUUAAGCUAGGGCUGUUGUUUAGAAAGUUAGUUGUUAAAAGUUGGUAUUGAUUCAUGAUUGGCGAUAGCAUAAUAUAUAAUUGGUUCAUUUCAUUAAAGCGUAUGAUAUAUUAUAAAAUAUAUGUAUAUAAAUAAUUAAUUUCCAUAAAAACGAUAUUUAUAACCUACCUAAUACCACUGAUACUAUAGUAUUUAUAAUCAAUGAUAUAAUAUAAGGGAACAUUAAUUCUAUUUUACGGGACACCCCUUUUUUGGUCAUUUUUUUGGGGAAUUUGGAAAUAUUUUUGACGGAAAAAAUGAUAGUGAAAUCAGAAUUUGGCACACGAACUUACUUUCAAAGUUAUAGCUGAUUGAAAUUUUCUAUUUAUACAGAAAACUAAACUAUAGUCCUUAAAUACCCAUUAUUUGCACUUAAAAAAAAAUAUAUAUUAUACAUAUUUAUUUUGCGAAACAUCAUUUAUAGACAGAAUGAUUUUUAAUAUGGCAAUUUAUAGUCUUUUAAAUUUUGUAGUAUUAAAUAAUACGUGUAGUUGCUCCCUACUUAUUAUACAUUGUAGGUAAGAGGUCUAGGUACAAUGGUCUACUCCAGAGAUUCCCAACCUUUUUAUUGUGCAACCCAUUUUGGCAAUUUUUUAUAAUUUGGUGACCCACAAUAUUUUAUUGAAUGACCUAUUUUUUUAGUGAAUUAGUUGCUUACAACAAAAAAUAUGUAUUUAUUUUUAAUUUAAAAAUAUAGCGCGACCCACCAAAAAUAUAAUCGCGACCCACAGUUUGGGAACCUCUGGUCUACUCUAAUGGCUGCAGAUAAAUAUCGAUAAGAUAAAAUGACAAAUUUAAGCUUUCAAUAAUACUUAUGUAAUAUUAUUCAUUGUGUUUUGUAUUCGUACGCGUCAUUGCGUCAAUAUUACAAUUAAGUAUUUACAAUGGAAAAACAUAAAUUUGUUCGAUUUUGUAGAGUGGUCAAAAUUAGACGAUUGGUUAGGUUUGAUCUCCAAACUACAAAGAUUUAGUACAUUGCCAACCGAAACUAUAUUAAUGUAUCCGAGGGCAUUACAUGAAAUUGACUAAAGAUCUGUCGAAAAGUGAUAAUUACAAAUGGAUUUGUCAGGAAGUAUAAGAAGAAAACGAAAAAAAAAUUACAAUUAUAGGUAAAUAUAAAAAUAAUAACUUAAAACUAAGAACUAAAAUAUACAACUACAAUUAAAAACAAAAAUAAAACUUAAACCAUUAAUACUUAUAGCAUGUGACUCAGACAAAAUAUAUUUUUUUACAAGUCCCAUCUCAGCUUUUAAGAAAUAUGAAGUUUUGUUAAUUUGUGGACGAUAAAUACCUCAUUCCCAUUAAUGAAACUAUAAUUACGACUUACCCACCAAACACUUAUCGAUUGGUCAUCAUUUUGUCGUGAAAUCACAUACGAAUAUACGAUGCUAUAGUAGUACAAAAGGUGAAGUUAGGCGGAUAUGGACACAUGGAAAAAAUUGAUGAAUUGAAGUUUGGACGACGCAAACAUUACCGGGGCUAUAGAGUUGAAGAGCAAUGGGUUUUUGGUGGUUACGAACGGGAGACCGGUAACUGUUUUAUGGUCCCCGUUGAAAACCGUAAUGCAACCACCCUUCUGGGCUUCUGGCCAUCAUAAAAUAAUGGAUAAAGCCUGGGACGACCAUAAUCUCAAAUUAUUGGAAGGCUUACAAUACCUUAAAUAACGAAGGCUAUAUACAUAUGACGGUUAACCAUAGUCUCCAUUUCAAAAACCCGGAGACAGGGCGGCGUCCAUUCUAAUACGAUAGAGAGUUCAUGGAGGCAUUCAAAAGCGGCAAAACCUCCAUGUCAAACUACUGUCGUAAAAAAAUCAUUUUAUGCUGGAUACUAAUUGGCCAACAAAAAUAAUACCGAACAUGAUAGUCACGAUGGCAAUGAAGGUGACAAAAGCGACGACAGCAGCGACGAAUACGUGGACGAUGAUGUUUACGGCGAAUACGACAAACUGGAUGUCGAGAAUGAAGAUAGAGAUGGUAAUGACGAUUGGCGACGGGAACGACAAAAGACGACAGCAGCUUCGGUGGCAUUGUGGCAACGUUGACACAAAUACACAAUAUGAAAUAUUGAACUUUAAAACAACUUAUAGAGAAUUUUUUAAUAAGAAAUUUGUUUGAAUUUUCGGAACAAAUCUACUUUAUCGGACAGCUUUUUUUUUGCAAUUUCUCCCCCCCCCC